rnacentral:rRNA from 1 species
UACGGAGGUGCAAGCGUUAUCCGGAUUCACUGGGUUUAAAGGGUGCGUAGGAGGGCAGGUAAGUCAGUGGUGAAAUCUUUGGGCUUAACCCGAAAACUGCCAUUGAUACUAUCUGUCUUGAAUCCCGUGGAGGUGAGCGGAAUAUGUCAUGUAGCGGUGAAAUGCUUAGAUAUGACAUAGAACACCAAUUGCGAAGGCAGCUCGCUACACGAAGAUUGACUCUGAGGCACGAAAGCGUGGGGAUCAAACAGG